rnacentral:rRNA from 1 species
UACAGAGGCCUCGAGCGUUAGGCGGAAUCACUGGGCUUAAAGCGUGUGUAGGUGGAUGCCUAAGUACCUUGUGAAAUCCCACGGCUUAACUGUGGAACUGCUUGGUAUACUGGGUGUCUUGAGCCACUCAGGGGCUACCGGAACAAACGGUGGAGCGGUGAAAUGCGUAGAUAUCGUUUGGAACGCCAAUGGUGAAAACAGGUAGCUGGGGGUGUGCUGACGCUGAGACACGAAAGCCAGGGGAGCGAACGGG